UACGGGGGGGCAAGCGUUGUUCGGAAUUACUGGGCGUAAAGGGCUCGUAGGCGGCCAACUAAGUCGGACGUGAAAUCCCCAGGCUCAACUGCGGGUCUGCAGUCGAUACGGGCAGGCUAGAGUUCGGUGAGGGGAGACUGGAAUUCCGGUGUGAGCGGUGAAAUGCGCAGAUAUCAGGAGGAACACCGGUGGCGAAGGCGGGUCUCUGGGCAACUACUGACGCUGAGGAGCGAAAGCGUGGGGAGCGAACAGG
rnacentral:rRNA from 1 species